rnacentral:rRNA from 1 species
UACGUAGGUGGCAAGCGUUGUCCGGAAUUAUUGGGCGUAAAGCGCGCGCAGGCGGUCCUUUAAGUCUGAUGUGAAAGCCCACGGCUCAACUGUGGAGGGUCAUUGGAAACUGGGGGACUUGAGUACAGAAGAGAAGAGUGGAAUUCCACGUGUAGCGGUGAAAUGCGUAGAGAUGUGGAGGAACACCAGUGGCGAAGGCGACUCUUUGGUCUGUAACUGACGCUGAGGCGCGAAAGCGUGGGGAGCGAACAGG